ensembl:lncRNA uncharacterized LOC114426419
AUAACACAAGCUUGCCAUCUCCUUCUUCCUGUCCAAUAAAUAGUGUAGUGCUGGGACGAGGCAGGUGUUUUACCAGCGGAGUUUACUUUGUUGUGGCAACAGGAUCACUGAGAUGAACACCUGCAACUUCAACCUCUUCUUCAUCCUCACCGUGAGGUUCAUCUUCUACCAAAGUCAUGGUUUUCAUGUGAUCCAGCCACAGAAUCGGACUAUAAAUCCAGACAACUCUGUUACCAUCAGCUGUGAACAUGACUCAACAGCACCUGACAGUUCAGUGGUAGAUGUUCGACUCUACAGAAUAAAUCCGAAUGGGCAGAAAUUUAUCAUAUAUCAAAAGGGGAUGAAAAACAGUAAGAACAUCCUCAUGUAUUCAGAGAACUCCAACAAGUUUAUUUUCAUCAUGCUCAACAAUGUUCCAGAGGCAAUAAAUGCAACAUAUGAGUGUGAGAUCACGGUGCAAGAAAAUGAAAUAGAUUACACCAACAGAGGAAAGCCUACCCAACUACUGCAUGGUGAAAAGAAAACAGAGGAGAGAUGCCACCCUCCCCCUUCAUUUCCUCCACCCCGUCCACAGCCUCCUCUGCUCAGAUGGAUUCUGAUUGGUCUGCUGGCCCUGAUGUUCCUGUACAGCACUUUCAUCACCUGUUUCUACAUCAGACUGGUGAUGAACAUCAACAAUGACUGCGAGGACUCCACCUAUGUGGAAAUGAGAAAAACUCCUGUGCCAAGAAGUCAACACUAUGAAAUACACGCUGCUUAUUGCUCUUAACCACUGGCCUCAGGCUGAAUCUAUGAAAAUAUUGAUGUGUAUGGAUGUGUUUUACCUUUGUUUUUGAAAACCAGUAUAUUACUGUGGAAAAACUGCAGGGGGAGACAGGGGAGCCCACGCUGACUAUUCCACUGCAUUUCUGGUUGGAUUUAAUCUAGCAGCAUCAUAAUUAGUUUCAUAUUCAUUCUUAUUUUGUUAAUAAUCUUUCAUGAACCCAAUGUUCCAUUAUGUAAUGUACUUUAUCUUUUUACUAUGCUGGUUAUUUGCAUGGUCACAUUUAAAUGAUUAUUCAUUUUUUUAUGAUAACAUGUUUUGCUAGGCACCAGUUACAACACAAGACAGCUUGUAUCACUUAAUUGGACAUUUACUCUGUGUUUUGCACACCGUAAUCUACUCCUAGAGUGGAUGUGGAGGUGUAACUUAAGGCAACAUAAAUCAAAAUUAAAUAUCAUGUUUGUUUGAUAUAAUACUGACAAUGAACAAAAGGGUGAGAGGGCUCAUUUUUGCAGACUUCUGUAGGUACAACACAUUUUAAGUAGACAAACAUCUGCAAACGGUUUGCUUUGAGCUGAUCUAUUAUUUGUUCAACUGAAUAAAUAAAUAGAGUUUUUGUCA